rnacentral:rRNA from 1 species
UGGGGAAUUGUUCGCAAUGGGCGCAAGCCUGACGACGCAACGCCGCGUGGAGGAUGAAGACCUUCGGGUCGUAAACUCCUUUCGAUCGAGACGAAUGGCCUCCGGGUGAAUAAUCCGGAGGAGUGACGGUACCGAGAGAAGAAGCCCCGGCUAACUCCGUGCCAGCAGCCGGGGUAAUACGGGGGGGGCAAGCGUUGUUCGGAAUUACUGGGCGUAAAGGGCUCGUAGGUGGCCAACUAAGUCAGACGUGAAAUCCCUCGGCUUAACCGGGGAACUGCAUCUGAUACUGGAUGGCUUGAGUUUGGGAGAGGGACGCGGAAUUCCAGGUGUAGCGGUGAAAUGCGUAGAUAUCUGGAGGAACACCGGUGGCGAAGGCGGCGUCCUGGACCAAUACUGACACUGAUGAGCGAAAGCCAGGGGAGCAAACGGG